rnacentral:rRNA from 1 species
GAUGAACGCUGGCGGCGUGCCUAAUACAUGCAAGUCGAGCGGUAAGGCCACUUCGGUGGUACACGAGCGGCGGACGGCUGAGUAACACGUAGGAACGUACCCCAAACUGAGGGAUAAGCACCGGAAACGGUGUCUAAUACCGCAUGUGCUCUUCGGAAUAAAGCUACGGCGGUUUGGGAACGGCCUGCGCAUGAUUAGCUUGUUGGUGAGGUAAUGGCUCACCAAGGCGACGAUCAUUAGCUGGUCUGAGAGGAUGAUCAGCCAGACUGGGACUGAGAACGGCCCAGACUCCUACGGGAGGCAGCAGUAGGGAAUUUUCCACAAUGGGGGCAACCCUGAUGGAGCAACGCCGCGUGCAGGAUGAAUGCCUUCGGGUUGUAAACUGCUUUUAUAUGUGACGAUUAUGACGGUAGCAUAUGAAUAAGGAUCGGCUAACUCCGUGCCAGCAGCCGCCGUAA